GGCAGGCCAAGAUAUCAGCAAAAUUUAACCCGGAGUAAUGGACACGCACACGGACCUGGCGUGGCUGCAGCCGAGGGGCCGGGAGGUCCUGCACCAGCAGGGGCUGUGUCAGCUGCGUGCAGAGUGCUGCUCGGUACCCCCGGGCACGAGGCUGGGCAGGCAGCCUCAGGAUGCAGAGCCGCCGCCCCACCGCCGCCGCCGCCGCUGCCGCCAUGCCGCU
rnacentral:lncRNA from 1 species